UGGGGCGUAGACAAAUGGCUAAGUCACGGGGUUUUGGUCUCCGCAUUUGGGGGUUCGAGUCCUCCCGCCCCAGCCA
rnacentral:tRNA from 1 species